UGCUUUGGCGGCUCCGGCCGCCAAAGGACCUCCAAACUCCAGUCAGUAAACGCAGACGUCUGAUAAACAAGUUAAUAAACUAAAACUUUCAACAACGGAUCUCUUGGUUCUGGCAUCGAUGAAGAACGCAGCGAAAUGCGAUAAGUAAUGUGAAUUGCAGAAUUCAGUGAAUCAUCGAAUCUUUGAACGCACAUUGCGCCCCUUGGUAUUCCGGGGGGCAUGCCUGUUCGAGCGUCAUUACAACCCUCAAGCUCUGCUUGGAAUUGGGCACCGUCCUCACUGCGGACGCGCCUCAAAGACCUCGGCGGUGGCUGUUCAGCCCUCAAGCGUAGUAGAAUACACCUCGCUUUGGAGUGGUUGGCGUCGCCCGCCGGACGAACCUUCUGAACUUUUCUCAAGGUUGACCUCGGAUCAGGUAGGGAUACCC
rnacentral:rRNA from 1 species